UCUUUCACUCUUGGGCCUAGUGAGGCAGCUUAUUUUUCCUUUUUCUUUCAUUGGUCACAGUUAUUUAUUUUCAGUGUGUCAUCUUCUCUAAGUUUCUGAGGGAGUGUUAGCUUGAGGCCUUGCCUUGACAUAAUCAGAUAUAAUCAGAAAAAUGAAAAAUUCCAUAGGAAAGAACUAUUUUAGCCAAGGUGUGUGAGAGAAAUACCACCACUUUCAAGCACUGUUUUCUUCUACUGGAGCCUGCUCAAUAGGGACGUCAACUUUGCUGGGGCUUCCUUUGACAAGAGAAUCGGAACUGACUGGUGACAUUUGUUUCAAUGAAAGCAACGGUGUGAAUAAUCUUAGCCUGCUGCUGGAAAUGGCCCUCUCAGUGGACUCAUCGUGGCAUCGGUGGCAGUGGAGAGUCAGAGAUGGCUUCCCCCAUUGUCCAUCAGAAACCACACCGCUGCUCUCUCCAGAGAAAGGGAGACAGAGCUACAACUUGACACAGCAGCGGAUCGUGUUCCCCAACAACAGCAUAUUCCAUCAAGAUUGGGAAGAGGUCUCCAGGAGAUACCCUGGCAACAGAACCUGCACAACCAAAUACACCCUCUUCACCUUCCUUCCCCGGAAUCUCUUUGAGCAAUUUCAUAGAUGGGCUAACCUCUAUUUCCUAUUCCUGGUGAUUUUGAACUGGAUGCCCUCCA
rnacentral:sRNA from 1 species